AGAAUGUCUAAUAUGAGGAGAAUGGGCACUCGCGGGUUAGUUCCAGUUUUCUGGACUGGUUGCAGUAAUAAUCUCUGACCACGCGGGGCGCUCGUAGGCGAGUCCAGAAUGAAUGGGAGCCAACGGGGUUUUAUCCUCAGAAUCCACUUUUCUCACAAUGUAAUUUUUUGUCAAGUAAUUUGAAAGUUGCUAUCAAAAGGUGGGGCUAAGAUAAUAAACUCAGCUGAAUAUUGCAUUUUUUAAGGUCACGUAUCUGUUCUAAAAAGGCGUUAAAAACAUGCGAUGACGUCACACAUUGUCAUACUGUCAGAGGUACUGCUUUACGGCAGUUUCUAAAGCACUUCCCUUUUCCCGCAACGAUAACACCAGCUGUUGGAGUUGGACCUUGAUGCUGUGACAACGGACAAGUCUUCUUCCUCUGUCCUUUUCCCCUGCCUCUGUUCAGGUGAUGUUCAGCACAUGAAGCCCUACAGAUGCCGCCGAUUCAACAAUGCUGAUUAUGAUGGGCGGUCAAUUUAACCUUUGCCUUAUUAGGUCCUCCACAGUCGCCCCAUCAGUCCCUGGCAGUCUGGUCCCUGGAGCAGCUGGCCCUGGCAAAAGUUAUUCCUUCACUGUUGACCCCUGACU